rnacentral:rRNA from 1 species
GUUCCACGGGUUCCGUGUCGGAGCUAACGCGUUAAGCAUCCCGCCUGGGGAGUACGGCCGCAAGGCUAAAACUCAAAGAAAUUGACGGGGGCCCGCACAAGCGGCGGAGCAUGCGGAUUAAUUCGAUGCAACGCGAAGAACCUUACCUGGGCUUGACAUGUUCCCGACGAUCCCAGAGAUGGGGUUUCCUUCGGGGCGGGUUCACAGGUGGUGCAUGGUCGUCGUCAGCUCGUGUCGUGAGAUGUUGGGUUAAGUCCCGCAACGAGCGCAACCCUCGCCCCGUGUUGCCAGCGGAUUGUGCCGGGAACUCACGGGAGACCGCCGGGGUUAACUCGGAGGAAGGUGGGGAUGACGUCAGAUCAUCAUGCCCCUUACGUCCAGGGCUUCACGCAUGCUACAAUGGCCGGUACAACGGGAUGCGACGCGGCGACGCGGAGCGGAUCCCUGAAAACCGGUCUCAGUUCGGAUCGCAGUCUGCAACUCGACUGCGUGAAGGCGGAGUCGCUAGUAAUCGCGAAUCAGCAACGUCGCGGUGAAUGCGUUCCCGGGCCUUGUACACACCGCCCGUCAAGUCAUGAAAGUGGGCAGCACCCGAAGCCGGUGGCCUAACCCCUUGUGGGAUGGAGCCGUCUAAGGUGAGGC